rnacentral:rRNA from 1 species
UACGGAGGAUGCGAGCGUUAUCCGGAUUUAUUGGGUUUAAAGGGUGCGUAGGCGGGCUUUUAAGUCAGCGGUGAAAAUUCGGGGCUCAACCCCGUCCGGCCGUUGAAACUGGGGGCCUUGAGUGGGCGAGAAGAAGGCGGAAUGCGUGGUGUAGCGGUGAAAUGCAUAGAUAUCACGCAGAACCCCGAUUGCGAAGGCAGCCUUCCGGCGCCCUACUGACGCUGAGGCACGAAAGUGCGGGGAUCGAACAGG